rnacentral:ncRNA from 2 species
AGCUUAUCCAGAAAGGCUGAGGGACAGUGCCCGAUGAAGCCUUGGCAACCGUUCCGCUUUCAGCGGGAAAUGGUGCCAAUUCACUUCUCUGUUUAUUAAAAAUAUCAGAGAGAAGAUGAGCC